rnacentral:pre_miRNA from 1 species
GAUGAGCUCAUUGUAAUAUGAGCUUCAUUUAUACAUUUCAUAUUACCAUUAGCUCAUCUU